GAAAAAUAUAAAUUAAAGAUGCAGUAUCCUCCCUCCACGCUGGCCAGGAAAGCAGAUGCCAGACAGAACCUACAAAUAGGAACUUGCUCCAGUAUAGUUCUUCAAACCUGAUUUAUCCUUGAAGCUGAAACCAAGCUUGAAAAAUGCAACUGGAAUUCAGAGCAAAUUUCGCCUCAGAGCGCUGAAUAAACCACCAUCAUGUUCCAAUAUGCAAAUGUAUCAACAAUGAUGAAUACUUAAGGGAUUGAUUGCAUCCAAAAUCAUCGUGCUCGCCAUCUUCAGGGUAGCUCUUGUGACAGCAGAAGGUGUUACUUCUGCAGUGAGAGAGAGCCAAAGAUGUUGCCAGUGCCUAACUUUAGCUAGGAGCCCACAUACCAUUCCUCAAACCAGUAUCCUAAUCAGCCCAGGUGAAAAUUCUUCCCGUUUUGGAAGAUUAUAAUUAACUUCCUACUGAGCCAUGCUUAGAAAAAUGCCUCAACCUGAAAGAUUAAAUGGGAACUUAGUAUCUGUCAGAAAUAAUUCAGCAGUAGCUGUUUGUGUCUUGCAGUAUAAAGAUACCAAUUUAAAAUCA